UUGCAUUUUGAAACAUCGGUCCCCGUACGAUCACCGCAGUUAAGCAACGUCAAGUCUAGUCAGUACCUAUACGGGUGACCACUUGAGAAUACCAAGUGAUGCAUG